rnacentral:rRNA from 1 species
ACUCCUACGGGAGGCAGCAGUGGGGAAUAUUGCACAAUGGGGGAAACCCUGAUGCAGCAACGCCGCGUGAGUGAUGACGGUCUUCGGAUUGUAAAACUCUGUCUUCAGGGACGAUAAUGACGGUACCUGAGGAGGAAGCCACGGCUAACUACGUGCCAGCAGCCGCGGUAAUACGUAGGUGGCAAGCGUUGUCCGGAUUUACUGGGCGUAAAGGGAGCGUAGGUGGAUAUUUAAGUGGGAUGUGAAAUACUCGGGCUUAACCUGAGUGCUGCAUUCCAAACUGGAUAUCUAGAGUGCAGGAGAGGAAAGUAGAAUUCCUAGUGUAGCGGUGAAAUGCGUAGAGAUUAGGAAGAAUACCAGUGGCGAAGGCGACUUUCUGGACUGUAACUGACACUGAGGCUCGAAAGCGUGGGGAGCAAACAGGAUUAGAUACCCUGGUAGUC